GACGAACGCUGGCGGCGUGCUUAACACAUGCAAGUCGAACGAAGAGCGAUGGAAGCUUGCUUCCAUCAAUCUUAGUGGCGCACGGGUGAGUAACGCGUAAUCAACCUGCCCUUCAGAGGGGGACAACAGUUGGAAACGACUGCUAAUACCGCAUACGAUCUAAUCUCGGCAUCGAGGAUAGAUGAAAGGUGGCCUCUACAUGUAAGCUAUCACUGAAGGAGGGGAUUGCGUCUGCUUAGCUAGUUGGAGGGGUAACGGCCCACCAAGGCGAUGAUCAGUAGCCGGGCUGAGAGGAUGAACGGCCACAGUGGGACUGAGACACGGCCCAGACUCCUACGGGAGGCAGCAGUGGGGAAUCUUCCGCAAUGGACGAAAGUCUGACGGAGCAACGCCGCGUGAGCGAUGACGGCCUUCGGGUUGUAAAGCUCUGUUAAUCGGGACGAAAGGCCUUCUUGCGAAUAGUGAGAAGGAUUGACGGUACCGGAAUAGAAAGCCACGGCUAACUACGUG
rnacentral:rRNA from 1 species